rnacentral:ncRNA from 1 species
GCGACGUCGCUUUUUGAUCCUUCGAUGUCGGCUCUUCCUAUCAUUGCGAAGCAGAAUUCGCAAAGCGUUGGAUUGUUCACCCACUAACAGGGAACGUGAGCUGGGUUUAGACCGUCGUGAGACAGGUUAGUUUUAUUCUACCGAUGCAUCGCGCGUACGCGGCGCCUCGAGUCGCGCGCGGUCGGGGGUUCGGUGCGUAGCGGCGCACUUCGGUGCGCUUCCGCAGCCGACGCUCUCACCCCGCGGCCUUAGGCGGGCGCCGGCAACGUCAACUCGGCUACGGCUAUCCCGUCCAGUACGAGGAGAACCGCGGGAUCAGAGCAACGGUUUGCGCGCUCGCUCGAUAGAGCGGUGGUGCCAAGCUGCCUCUGAGCGAUAACGGCUGAGUAAUACAUAUUUAAUUCAAGAGAGCAUCAAAACGCCAAAUAGGAAUCAUUAUGCAGUGACGAAAAAACAAUAUUAAUCAUUAACUAAUAUUAUAUUAAAUAUAAGGGCAGCGAGAAUUCCGCCGUAGUCGACAUUGCCUUUCAUCAAUCGGAGUCGAUAAAAUAAGUACCAGUUGAGUACAGGAAUUUAUGUAAUCGACUUAACUCCUACUCCCAAACUUGCUGGCCUGGUGCCAAAAUUUGAAACCAACAUUAUAUUAAUUAUUUCCGAAAAUACUGAUUAUUCCGA